UUAGCGGCGCUUUUUAGCGCCACUAAAAGUGAAAGCGCCGCAAAA
rfam:Gossypium raimondii chromosome 2, whole genome shotgun sequence.